AAAGGGCUUGCUUCUCUGGCAAGAAAAUUCGGCAGACAAGCAGGGCUCAGGGAGAGUUAUAUUCAGAGAUGACUGUUAGACAGUACCACAGUUUACCACAGGAAAAGCCAGGAUGGAGGACACUCAGAAUGACACAACUCCCAUUCCUCCUGCCACAGGAAGAACCUGCCACAUCUCAAUGGCACAAGGCAUCAUGAUUCCCAAAGCCUAUGAACCUCGCAGAGGAAUAAAAUGUGUCGGUGGCAGAAAUGGAUCUACCCAGCGGCACAAGACAGGGCCCAACCAGCAGCUGCGUGUGAGCCAGCGGGAGAUGUUCAAGGCUUGUUAUUACAGAACUUCAAUUGUCCCCUCUCUCCCUGACCACAAACUGCAUCCCGUAGUCAAGAGCUCUCAACUUUCCUAGUACGCACUGAAUUGGAAGUCUGGAUUUUUCACUUUCCUCUAUGAAGUCACAUUUUCCUCAAAAUAAUGAAGCUACUUCAUGAGAACAUAAAUGUUUGCACUGCUUUCAAAAUUCCCCAUUAAUAAGUGUUAGAAGGAAAGCACUGGAGCAGAAAGCUCAGUUCCUCUUAGAACCGUAACUGGAGGAAGAACAAGGACUUUGGAGUCACGGAUCUGCACUGCAAUCCUGGUUGCACUUCUGGGGAUGGUGGAUGUGUCCGCCAUUUUGAUCAUGGUGCUUGUCUCUUGUGUGUCCAUCCAUGUCAAAACUUGUUAAGUUAUACACUUUAAAUACAGAUAGCUUAUUUUAUGUGAGUUACACAUAAAAUAUUACCAUAAUAAAGCUCUUUUAGAAGAGGGAUCUUCUUUCGGUAUUGGAUCUUAAGUGACUCAGUCUCUCUCAGAUGUGGUUUCCUCAUCCACGUCGUGGGUGUCACCAAAACCCCCUUGCAUGGUAGCAGAACAUGACACUGAGCAUAGUAACUGGACCCUGAGCUCUCUCUGUGCCCGGUGCUUAGCUCUAUGUCAG